AGUGAACGCUGGCGGUAGGCCUAACACAUGCAAGUCGAACGGCAGCACAGUAAGAGCUUGCUCUUACGGGUGGCGAGUGGCGGACGGGUGAGGAAUACAUCGGAAUCUACUUUUUCGUGGGGGAUAACGUAGGGAAACUUACGCUAAUACCGCAUACGACCUACGGGUGAAAGCAGGGGAUCUUCGGACCUUGCGCGAUUGAAUGAGCCGAUGUCGGAUUAGCUAGUUGGCGGGGUAAAGGCCCACCAAGGCGACGAUCCGUAGCCGGUCUGAGAGGAUGAUCAGCCACACUGGAACUGAGACACGGUCCAGACUCCUACGGGAGGCAGCAGUGGGGAAUAUUGGACAAUGGGCGCAAGCCCGAUCCAGCCAUACCGCGUGGGUGAAGAAGGCCUUCGGGUUGUAAAGCCCUUUUGUUGGGAAAGAAAAGCAGCAGGUUAAUACCCCGCUGUUCUGACGGUACCCAAAGAAUAAGCACCGGCUAACUUCGUG
rnacentral:rRNA from 1 species